GAUGAACGCUGGCGGCGUGCCUAAUACAUGCAAGUCGAGCGAAUGGAUUAAGAGCUUGCUCUUAUGAAGUUAGCGGCGGACGGGUGAGUAACACGUGGGUAACCUGCCCAUAAGACUGGGAUAACUCCGGGAAACCGGGGCUAAUACCGGAUAACAUUUUGAACCGCAUGGUUCGAAAUUGAACGGCGGCUUCGGCUGUCACUUAUGGAUGAACCCGCGUCGCAUUAGCUAGUUGGUGAGGUAACGGCUCACCAAGGCAACGAUGCGUAGCCGACCUGAGAGGGUGAUCGGCCACACUGGGACUGAGACACGGCCCAGACUCCUACGGGAGGCAGCGGUAGGGAAUCUUCCGCAAUGGACGAAAGUCUGACGGAGCAACGCCGCGUGAGUGAUGAAGGCUUUCGGGUCGUAAAACUCUGUUGUUAGGGAAGAACAAGUGCUAGUUGAAUAAGCUGGCACCUUGACGGUACCUAACCAGAAAGCCACGGCUAACUACGUGCCAGCAGCCGCGGUAA
rnacentral:rRNA from 1 species